UACGAGGGGGGCAAGCGUUGUUCGGAUUUAUUGGGCGUAAAGGGUGCGUAGGCGGUUUGGCAAGUCUGAUGUGAAAUCUCUGGGCUUAACCCAGAGGCUGCUUCCAAAACUGCUGUGCUUGAGUGUGGGAGAGGCGCGUGGAAUUGCAGGUGUAGCGGUGAAAUGCGUAGAUAUCUGCAGGAACACCCGUGGCGAAAGCGGCGCGCUGGACCACUACUGACGCUGAGGAACGAAAGCUAGGGGAGCAAACAGG
rnacentral:rRNA from 1 species